rnacentral:rRNA from 1 species
GGUGACUUCGGAUCAGGAAGGGAGCACGU